UACGUAGGGUGCGAGCGUUGUCCGGAAUUAUUGGGCGUAAAGAGCUCGUAGGCGGACUGUCGCGUCGAAUGUGGAAAACCCGGGGCUCAACUCCGGGCUUGCAUUCGAUACGGGCAGGCUAGAGUUCGGUAGGGGGAGUCUGGAAUUCCUGGUGUAGCGGUGAAAUGCGCAGAUAUCAGGAGGAACACCGAUGGCGAAGGCAGGUCUCUGGGCUGUAACUGACGCUGAGGAGCGAAAGCAUGGGGAGCGAACAGG
rnacentral:rRNA from 1 species